AUUGAACGCUGGCGGCAGGCCUAACACAUGCAAGUCGAACGAGCGGCGGGCGGGUGAGUAAUGUCUGGGAAACUGCCUGAUGGCGGGGGGUAACUACUGGAAACGGUGGCUACUACCGCCUCCCAUCAGAUUUGCCCCGAUGGGAGUAGCUAGUAGGUGGGGUAACGGCUCACCUUGGCGACGAUCCCUACCGGGUCUGCGAGGAUGACCAGCAACACGGGAACUGAGAAACGGUCCAUAUGCCGACGGGAGGAAGCAGUGGGGAAUAUUGGAAAAUGGGCGAAAGCCGGAGGCAGACAUGCCGGGGAGGUGAAGAAGGCCUUAGGGUUUGAAAGCACUUUCAGCGGGGAGGCGUUACCGGCAGAAGAAGCAACGGCUAACUACGUGCCAGCAGCCGCGGUAAUAC
rnacentral:rRNA from 1 species